CGGAAAGAGAGGGAUUCGACCCC
rnacentral:tRNA from 1 species